CGGAGCUAUUUCACAAUAUUAAACUAACUAAAUAUAUACAGAGAGAAAACAAAAUGAGUGAUCUUCCAAUAGGCCGUAUAUAUAAAAAUUAUUAUUACUUUCGUUGCAAUUAAAGCUUAUUUUUGAAACAUUGGAUGGUUUGAGAUCUUUUAAGAUCACAAGGUAAACUAUUCCAAGCCACCGCACCCCUGUAACUAAAUUAUUUUUUCUUGAAAUUAGUGCUUGGUUUAGGUGGAAAAUAAUUUUGCACCUGUCUCGUUUCGUAAUUGUGUACGUCAUCGGUUCUUUGAAAUAAAUUUGAUAUGGAGCGAGGAACCAUUGAAUUUCUAACUUUGAACAUUAGUGUAGCAACUUGUUGGUUCCUACGAGUCUCCAGAUUGUCAAGGUUUAGGUGUUGUAGAAGAACACAGGAGCGGACAUCAUAUCCACACUU
rnacentral:lncRNA from 1 species